CCCUUAGAUGUCCUGGGCCGCACGCGUGCUACACUGAUGCAUACAGCGAGUACUCCCAGCUCCGCGAGGCUGCUGGUAAUCAGCAAUAUGCAUCGUGAUGGGGAUAGAUCUUUGGAAUUAUAGAUCUUGAGCGAGGAAUUCCUAGUAAACGCAAGUCAUCACCUUGCGUUGACUAAGUCCCUGCCCUUUGUACACACCGCCCGUCGCUCCUACCGAUUUCGAGUGAUCCGGUGAAUCAUUCGGACCGCGUGGGCUUGACCUAACGUGGAAAGUCUAGUAAACCAUAUCACUUAGAGGAAGGAGAAGUCGUAACA
rnacentral:rRNA from 1 species